UACAGAGGGGGCAAGCGUUGUUCGGAAUUACUGGGCGUAAAGGGCGCGUAGGCGGCCUUCUAAGUCGAACGUGAAAUCCCCGGGCUCAACCCGGGAACUGCGUCCGAUACUGGAAGGCUUGAAUCCGGGAGAGGUGAGUGGAACUGCGAGUGUAGAGGUGAAAUUCGUAGAUAUUCGCAAGAACACCAGUGGCGAAGGCGGCUCACUGGCCCGAUACUGACGCUGAGGUGCGAAAGCGUGGGGAGCAAACAGG
rnacentral:rRNA from 1 species